CCUACGGGUGGCAGCAGUAGGGAAUCUUUCACAAUGGGCGAAAGCCUGAUGGAGCAACGCCGCGUGCAGGAUGAAGGCCUUCGGGUUGUAAACUGCUUUUAUAAGCGAGAAAUAUGAUGGUAACUUAUGAAUAAGGAUCGGCUAACUACGGGCCAGCAGCCGCGGUCAUACGUAGGAUCCGAGCAUUAUCCGGAGUGACUGGGUGUAAAGAGUUGCGUAGGUGGCAUAAUAAGUAGCUAGUGAAAUCUGGUGGCUCAACCAUUCAGACUAUUAGCGAAACUGUUAAGCUCGAGACCGUUAGGGGUAACUGGAAUUUCUAGUGUAGGAGUGAAAUCCGUAGAUAUUAGAAGGAACACCGAUAGCGUAGGCAGGUUGCUGGGACGGUUCUGACACUAAGGCACGAAAGCGUAGGGAGCAAACGGGAUUAGAUACCCUAGUAGUC
rnacentral:rRNA from 1 species